UACGUAGGGGGCUAGCGUUGUCCGGAUUUAUUGGGCGUAAAGAGCGUGUAGGCGGCCUGGUAGGUCUGCUGUGAAAACUCGAGGCUCAACCUCGAGAUGUCGGCGGAAACCAUCUGGCUAGAGUCCGGAAGAGGAGAGUAGAAUUCCUGGUGUAGCGGUGAAAUGCGCAGAUAUCAGGAAGAACACCUAUGGCGAAGGCAGCUCUCUGGGACGGUACUGACGCUGAGACGCGAAAGCGUGGGGAGCGAACAGG
rnacentral:rRNA from 1 species